UACGUAGGUGGCGAGCGUUGUCCGGAAUUACUGGGCGUAAAGCGCACGUAGGCGGCUUUGUAAGUUAGAGGUGAAAGCCCGGGGCUCAACUCCGGAAUUGCCUUUAAGACUGCAUCGCUUGAACACGGGAGAGGUGAGUGGAAUUCCGAGUGUAGAGGUGAAAUUCGUAGAUAUUCGGAAGAACACCAGUGGCGAAGGCGGCUCACUGGACCGUUGUUGACGCUGAGGUGCGAAAGCGUGGGGAGCAAACAGG
rnacentral:rRNA from 1 species